AACGAACGCUGGCGGCAUGCCUAACACAUCCAAGUCGAACGAGACCUUCGGGUCUAGUGGCGCACGGGUGCGUAACGCGUGGGAACCUGCCCUUAGGUUCGGAAUAACUCCCCGAAAGGGGUGCUAAUACCGGAUAAUGUCUUCGGACCAAAGAUUUAUCGCCUUUGGAUGGGCCCGCGUUGGAUUAGCUAGUUGGUAGGGUAAAAGCCUACCAAGGCGACGAUCCAUAGCUGGUCUGAGAGGAUGAUCAGCCACACUGGGACUGAGACACGGCCCAGACUCCUACGGGAGGCAGCAGUGGGGAAUAUUGGACAAUGGGCGAAAGCCUGAUCCAGCAAUGCCGCGUGAGUGAUGAAGGCCUUAGGGUUGUAAAGCUCUUUUACCCGGGAUGAUAAUGACAGUACCGGGAGAAUAAGCGCCGGCUAACUCCGUG
rnacentral:rRNA from 1 species